rnacentral:rRNA from 1 species
AGCUCCAAUAGCGUAUAUUAAAGUUGUUGCGGUUAAAAAGCUCGUAGUUGGAUUUCUGUCGGUGAUUGGGAGUCCGCCCUCAGUGGUGGGUACUUUUCAAGCCACCGGCAUCUUCCUGGGGACUGUGUCUGCUCUUUGUUGAGUGGCGCAUAAUCCAGGACUUUUACUUUGAAGAAAUAGGAGUGUUUCAAGCAGGCAAUCGCCAUGAACACGUUAGCAUGGAAUAAUAGCAUCGGACCUCGUUCCAAAGCUGUUGGUUUCUUGGGACGAGGUAAAGGUGAAUAGGGAUUGUUGGGGGCAUUCGUAUUUAACUGUCAGAGGUGAAAUUCUUGGAUUUGUUGAAGACGGACUACUGCGAAAGCAUCUGCCAAAGAUGUUCUCAUUGAUCAAGAACGAAAGU